AACUUACAUCUAUAAACGCCAGGGAAUUACGAGCUACGCUUAAAACCCAAAGGAUUUGACGGUGUCCCACCCACCUAGAGGAGCCUGUUCUAUAAUCGAUAAUACCCGCUAUACCCAACCACCUCUUGCUAUUCAGUCUGUAUACCUCCGUCGAAAGCUUACCAUGUGAACGCCUACAGUGAGUACAAUUACCCCCAACGUCAACACGUCAGGUCAAGGUGCAGCUUAAGGGGUGGAAAGAAAUGGGCUACAAUUUCUAAUCUAGAACAAACGAAAGACUAUGUGAAAUCAUGGUACUGAAGGCGGAUUUAGCAGUAAAAAGAAAAUAGAGCGUUCUUUUUAACCUGGCUCUGGGACGCGUACACACCGCCCGUCAC
rnacentral:rRNA from 1 species